AGAAACCAUCUAUGCACCUUCCCCUCUCCUUGCACACCGCUGUGUUUCAUAGGGGGCGAGCUGUCCCCCCCGACCCCCCAUCCCGACGCUGGGCCGAGCGGCAGCAGCGGGCGCUGCGCUCCAGGCGGGCAGGGCCGAUGUACCAGGGUGGGGUGACAGAUGUACCGGGGGAGACCGGCAGCCAUCCUGCCCUGACCUUGCACCGCCGCUUCCCCCGACCGGUAACUUCCCGAAAUGCCGCCGAAUCACGCUCGUCAUCCUUUUUCAGCUGAUGUCGCCUGAUUUCUCCUUUCUUCCUUGCUGAGCGGUAUCAAGGAAAACAGUGAAGGACCCAAGUGAUACGGUGCCAUUGCAAAGGCUGCAGCCAAGGUUGCAGCAGCUCCUGGUUGUGCAAAGCUGAGGCGGUGCCAUAGUGUUGUCUCUGCCAUCCCUGCACAUACACAACAGGGCAAGGGUGAUACAAAUGGGACACAAACCUACAGGAGUAGAUUUGGUUCAGCAGGUUUCCCCAAAUGGGUGAAACUGGCAUGUCUCCACAUCCAACCUUCUGCAGGGAGCGAGGUGGAGGGAUGCCCAGCCUUGGAGAGGACCCUGUGUCUGGUGUUCCAGAAGGAAGAUGCUCUCCAAUCAUGUGUCCUAUCCCUGCAGAGCAUCUGCAGGGAUGCAGCUGAGGAACUCCAUUCUCAUGGAACGUCCUCCACUGCAAGGACAUGAGGUUGCCAACAUUGACAUCGGCAAGUCUGAUACAGGCUGGUACCGAAUCUCAGUAAUUUAUUUUGUCUGGAAAGGAUUGGUGAUAGAUACAUAAUUUACAUUAUCUAACAUUUGUUAUUCAUACAUAUGAACAAACACCUUUGAGGACUGGGUCUUCAGGCAUUCCAAACUCUGUAAGAGUUUAUAGUUAUAUAAGUUAUGCAAUUUACUGGGACUGAAAUAUUGCCCCAGGUCUCACUUGAAGAGGGUGGGAGUUUUGAUUUGAGCAGGAAAAGCAUCAAGGCUUGUUAGCUGUGCCUGCUGGUGUGGACACCUCCUUUGCAAGAUUCAUAUUAUCACUCUAUAGCUUUUUGUGCACUUCUCUGUUGCCUUUGUUUUCCCCUAAUAUUAUCUGAAUUUUAGACUGCUCCCAUUAACCUUUGCCUCAUGACAAAUCUGGCCAUAUGCUAAAUAAUACCUCCUCUUCCCUGCAGUUCUGUGAGGUUCCUGUCACUGGGGAUCCUUUGUAGUUGGUCUAUCUGGAGAGUCGGAAGGCAUCUCUUCUGGAAGAUGAACAAGUCAAAUUUUCCUCUCCCUGAGGCAGCAGAGGCUGGUGAGCCAGCCUGGCUUUUCCAGAGAGGUCAGUGGGCCACAAUAUUUUAAUAUGGUUUUGCUCUAAUCCUGUGACCUUACAUAUGCACUUGAAAAGAAGUGGUAAGGCUGAACAACCCAAUCAUUUGUUUUUCUGUUUAAAAGAGCUUAUCUGAAACUUUGCAAACAGAGCUUAUUUCAGGUUUUAUUUCUAAAAGUAUACACAGCCCUUAAGUGCAAAAAGGAAAAAAAUAUCAAUGUAUGCAAACUUGUUCAAAGUACUUGAAGACGUGAACUUACUUUAUCCUUUUGUGCUCUCUGGUAGGUGACCUGGCUUUGUGUGCUACCAUGGAACCACCACAAGGGACUGAGAGGUAGAUCAGCUGAUGUCUAUCACAUUCAACAGUAGUAUCCAGUUGUAGCAGAGCUGAUGGAGGCUGGUCCUCUUCCUUACAGUCCCCAGAAGGUGCUGGAACACAUCCUCAUUGAAUCUGAUGCCUAACAUGGGCAGGAUGAGAAGCCCUUCAGCCAGCAAGGGUUUACCAAGACCAACACGUGCUUGGCCAACCUGACUGCCCUCCCUGGUGAGAUGAGAGACCAUACGGAGCUUCCCCAACCUCCUCCUCUAAAGCCAAGAGGUCUUUCCUUUCCCAGUCAACACUUCUACUACAAUAUGAAAAAGAAAAAGAGGGAACGGAAUCCUAAAUUUUUCAACUUCAGGUGUUCAUCAACACUGUUUUAUUUUCCACAUUGGAUUUUUGGUUUCCAUUAAAAAGAAAAAAAUAAAUAAUCUUAUCUGAACACAAAUUUGGCUGCUUUCAGAGCCUGAAGAGCAUCUUACACGUGCAAAGAAGGAGAGCGAAGCUUGUGAGCCCUGUGUGAAGGCCCUGGGUACAUGUGACACCCAAACCUCCUCAAUAUAUUUUGAUUAUUUCCUUCUCAUUUCUGUUCAGCCCUGUGAAUUCUAAAUCCCUCUUCUUCCUUUGUCUUUUAAAUGCUAUUUGUACCAUUUUAUCCUCAGUGUUCCUUUUUUUUUUUUAAUCCCUUCCAUAAAAAGCAAUAAAAUAUUAAUGUGGCAUAAAAAAAUCUGUCUGUGCUGGGACUCUCUUGAAACCAUUGAUGAAUCCAUGAAUAAAAUAUGAAUCUUUAUUUUGCUUGUGGUAUAUCAGAUUUCGCAUGUUUAUUAUAUUUUCUGUGAAGUGAGGUUGUCCAACAAAGUUUUUAUUCAUUUGUUUGCCUGCUUUUAUUUUAGGUAGCCCUUGAUUUAUUAACCUUUGAAAAAGCUAAUGUCCGACAUAGUCUUACAUGAAACAUGAAACUUUCAUUUGGAUCAAUUUGCUAGUCUCUCUCAUCUGAAAAAGGAAGAAGAAAAAAGGAAAAAUAAAAAGAAACUGUGCUUAUCCCAGAAAAUGCAUAUUUUUUUUCACCCUUGUGCUGUUGAGUUGCAUCUUCCAGUAUUACCUUGGCCUGAGAAAGAGUCUUUUGAAUGCGAUGAGUGAUGUUCACUGUAAAAAAACCCCAAAUCCCCAAAUCUGGAGUAUUGUGACUUUUUUUCCCCAAUGUAUCUUUCUUUUUCUUUGGCAAUCUUAAUUAACAUUUUUAUUCCAAUUACACACUAAUUUGAAAAUUGAA